GAUGAAGGCCUUCGGGUAGUAAAGCUCUUUGAUCAGGGAUGAUAAUGACAGUACCUGAAAAACAAGCUACGGCUAACUACGUGCCAGCAGCCGCGGUAAUACGUAGGUGGCGAGCGUUGUCCGGAAUUACUGGGCGUAAAGGAUGCGUAGGUGGAUAUUUAAGUGGGAUGUGAAAUCCCCGGGCUCAACCCGGGAACUGCAUUCCAAACUGGGUAUCUAGAGUGCAGGAGAGGAAAGCGGAAUUCCUAGUGUAGCGGUGAAAUGCGUAGAUAUUAGGAGGAACACCAGUGGCGAAGGCGGCUUUCUGGACUGUAACUGACACUGAGGCAUGAAAGCGUGGGUAGCAAACAGGAUUAGAUAG
rnacentral:rRNA from 1 species